CAGUCGCCGCGGUAAUACAGAGGGUGCGAGCGUUAAUCGGAUUUACUGGGCGUAAAGCGUGCGUAGGCGGCUUCUUAAGUCGGAUGUGAAAUCCCCGAGCUUAACUUGGGAAUUGCAUUCGAUACUGGUUAGCUAGAGUGUGGGAGAGGAUGGUAGAAUUCCAGGUGUAGCGGUGAAAUGCGUAGAGAUCUGGAGGAAUACCGAUGGCGAAGGCAGCCAUCUGGCCUAACACUGACGCUGAGGUACGAAAGCAUGGGGAGCAAACAGGAUUAGAUACCCCAGUAGUCCCUGUCUCUUAUAC
rnacentral:rRNA from 1 species